CUCUCCUGCCUCUGCCAGGAGAGAGCUUGUUCCUCCAACCCCAGGAGGCCAGGCAAGCAUGGACAGGAGCCAAGGGAGCAGGGUCAUGAACUUUUUCAUCUUUGCAAAGUGGGCACUUGGCAUCAGGGUCCCAUCACCAGAAAGCACCAAAGCCCCUGGCACCCCACCCACUCCAUCCUACCCAGGGACCCCAAGUAGGCAACUGCUAUGGCAGUGGGUCCAGCCCAGGCCGGCACUGCCAGCCUCCUCUCCCUGCAGUAGGCACCAGCUCUACCUCCCCCGGCAGGCAAUGUCCUGGCUUCUCAGCCCAGCACCAUCUGUUCCCCUAGACUUCUCAGGGGCCAGCCCAGUCUGGGCCACCCUUUCCCUCAUCCUCGGCUCCCACACAGGUGACAGGCCCAGCAGAUAGCUUCUCUCUGGGAAAGGUUGGAUGCUGCCUUACAUCCCCUUCUAUCCCUCCUCCCAUCCACACACACAGGCACCCACCCACACCAGGUCUGCUUGUUUCUCACAUGUAGGGAGAGGGGGGGAGACCAACCCCUUUGUGUCUUUUGAAAUACGAAGAAAAAUGUGUGUUCAGGAGCAUGACUCCAGUGCUGGGCUCUUGGGCCCAGUUCAGUCUGUCUUGUCUCAAAUCUAGGCACUUUUGCUUCAAUUUUAUUUUUUUUAAGAAAACAAAAACAGAAAUCUGCACUAAUUUACCUGGUUCUUAGGAAAACUUUUUUUUAUUUUUUACAUUUUUUGGUGUCCGUUUGUAUUGAAUAAUUUGCUACAUUUGUAAAAUGUAAGAGGUAUAUAUAAUAUAUGUAUAUUUCUAACGUAAAAACAAUUUUUUUCUUUUCAAGAUUUUUUCUUAAAAAGAUGAGAGAAACAUAUUUUUUCAGGAAAAACAAACUUUAAAAAAAAAAGAGGAGAAAUAAAACCUUUUCUCCCCUUUCCCCAUCCUCUAUCUAUCCCUGUUUCCCAGGAACAAAUCAAAAGGUGGAUUAUCUUCUGAAGAAUGGAAACUGUUAGUCCAGAAUGAUGUCUUUUUCUCAAUGCAGUGAGUUAUAGAUUCUCUAGUUUUCUCCCUAGGGAUGGGAAGGGGGCAUUGACGCAAGCCUGGAGAGGAGCCCGGGGAGCAGGGUCAUGAAGUUUUUUCUUCAGUGAAGGAGGAAUACAAUCAAGGGUUUUGUAUUCAGAAUGUUGUGCAAUAUUUUGGAAUAGGACAUUGGUGUGUUUAGAGAUUUUAGUUUAAAAACAAAACAAAAAGAUUGAUCAAAUCUGUACAGUUUCUAUUGUUCCAGAUUUUUUAAAGUUUGUAUUAAAAGCAUGAUACAUAAUAAAAA
rnacentral:lncRNA from 1 species